GCUGACACGCUGUCCUCUGGCGACCUGUGUCGCUGGAGAGGUUGGGCCUCUGGAUGCGUGCGGGACUCUGGCCCACCGCUGACCCGGCUAGCCGGCCCUGCUCCCGCUCGAGCCGCCUGCUGCUGGGGCCCGCGGGCCUGCUGCUCUCUCGCGCGUCCGAGCGUCCCGACUCCCGGUGCCGGCCCGGGUCCGGGUCUCUGACCCACCCGGGGGCGGCGGGGAAGGCGGCGAGGGCUACCCUGCCCCCGUGCGCUCUCCGCCGCGGGCACCCGGGGCGGCCGUGACAACCCCACCCCCGUCGGCUCCGUGCCGUGCGUGUCAGGCGUCCUCGUCUCCGCUGGGUUGUCCGCCGCCCCUUCCCCGGAGCGGGGGACGGCCGGGGCCGAUCGGCUCGCUCGCCGGCCGGCUGGCCGACUCCCCGCUCCCGGGGGCUCUUCCGUGAUCGAUGUGGUGACGUCACGCUCUCCCGGGCCGGAUCCGAGCCGCGACGGGCGAGGGGCGGACAUUCGUGGCGAAUGGGACCGUUCUUCUCGCCCCGCCCGCGGGGGCCCCUUGCCUCUCCUCCGUCCGCCUGCCGGUGGUGCGUUGGGAAGGCGUGGGGUGCGGAACCCGGCCUGACCUGGCUGUCCCGUCCCCGCUCUCCGCUUCGCGGGGUGGGUCGGCGGGGUCCUCUGACGCGGCGGGCAUCCCUCGCUCUCGCCUCCCGCGGUCGUCGACUUGCGGGCGGGCCCCCUCCGCGGCGGUGGGGGUGCCGUCCCGCCGGCCCGUCGUGCUGCCCUCUCGGGGGGUUUCGCGCGAGCGUUGGCUCCGCCCGGGCCUUUGCGGUGCUCCUGGAGCGCUCCGGGUUGUCCCUGAGGUGCCCGAGGCCGAGCGGUGGUGUGUCGCUCCCACCCCCGGCGUCCCCUCCUCCGGUGUCCGCGCGUGGGUCCCGAGGGGAGCCCGUCGGCGUGGGGUUCGAGGCGGUCGAGUGAGAUGAGAUGCGCGCCCCUCCCGCGCGGGGAAGGGCGCCGCCUGGUCCGGCGAGCGCACGUCCCGUGCUCCCCUCUGGUGGGUGCGCGAGGGCCGUGUGAGCGAUCGCGGCGGGCUCGGGCCGGUGACGCGUGCGCCGGCCGGCCGCCGAGGGGCUGCCGUUCUGCCUCCGACCGGUCGCGUGCGUGGCUUUGCCUCGGAAGCGACGCAGGAGGCGGGUGGACGGGGGGGGCCUUGUGAGCCUGCCGGGCCCCCGCCCUGACCGCGAACGCUCGAGGUCGCCGCAGGCGCGCUUCUCCUCGUACCGCAGGCCCCCUCCCUUCGCCGGGCGUCCCCGAGCGCCUCUGCGGGCCCGACGAGGGGCGACUGGCGGGUGGGGAGUGUGACCCACCCUCGGUGAGAAAGCCUUCUCUAGCGAUCUGAGAGAGGUGUGCCUUGGGGUGCCGGAUCUCCCGGCCUGCCGCCUCUGUCUCCUUCUGCCUUUACGGUAGCGCUGUCGUAGCGACUCGCGCGCAGAGGACCCUCCUCCUUUUCCUCCUCGACGGGUUGAGGUUGGGGAGAGCGAGGGUUCCGCCGGCCACCGCGGUGGUGGCCGAGCGCGGCUCGUCGCCUGCAGUGUGGCCCGCGCCUCCCCCUUCCGAGUCGGGGGAGGAUCCCGCCGGGCCGGGCCCGGCGUCCCAGCGGGUUGGGACGCGGCCGCCGCGAGCGGUGGGUGUGCGCGGCCUUCCGUCCGGUGCGUGACCCCCACCUCGGCCGCGAGUCGGCUCUCCGCCCGCUCCCGUGCCGAGUCGCGAGCGGUGCCGACGACCGCGUGCGCGUGGGCGCGGGGUUGGGCCGCCUGGUCCCGGGAAAGCGUCCCACGCUUGGGGACGCGCCGGUCUCCCGGAGCGGGACCGGGUCGGAGGCUGGACGAGAAUGACGAGCGAUGGAUGCGGCCCUGGCGUCGGGUUGGUGGCUGUGGUCGCUUCGGGGCCCCCGGUGGCGGGACCCGGGGCUCGUGAGGCGGGUCUCGGUGGGUGCCGAGGGCCGUCCGGCGUCCCAGGCGGGGCGCCGCGGGACCGCCCUCGUGUCGGUGGUGGUGGGAUCCCGCGGCCGUGUUUUCCUGGUGGCCCGGCCGUGCCCGAGGUUUCUCCCGCCGAGCCGCCGCUCUGCGGGCUCCCGGGUGCCCUCGCCCUCGCGUUCCCCGGCCCUUGGCUCUCUGUGCGCCCCUUCCCCGCCCGCCGCCCGCCGAUCCUCUCCCCUCCCCGAGCGGCUCGCCGGCUCGACGUCGGUGGUGGCCUCGUCUGGGACCGAACCCGGCACCGCCUCGGGGGGCGCCGCCGCCGGCCGCUGGUCGGCCCGGUGUCCCCGUCCCCCGGCGUGCGCCUUCGGGACCGGGUCGGCGGCCCCCCCGGCGUUGGGCCCCGGUGGGCUCCCGGAGAGGGGUUUUUUGAGGGGUCGGCCUGUGGCGCGUGCGGGGGAGAGAGGGUUCCGGGGGGCUGGCCGCGACUGCGGCGGCGGUGUGGGGGAGCCGCGCGGAUCGCCGAAGGUCGAGUCGGCCGCUCCGGGUGCCGCGCGGGGGCCGCCUUCGCGCUCGGAGGCUGCGGGCGGUGAGACCCCCCGCGUGUGUCCCGGCCGCGGUCGGCUGCGCCCGAGGGGUCCCGCGGCGUCCCCUUCCCCGCCGGCCGCCUUUCUCGAGCCUUCUCCUUCGCCUCGGCCUCGCCCGGGGUCUCGUCGUCUUCUCCCGGCCCGGUCUUCCGAAUCGGUCCGGCGCGCCCCCGGGUGCGCCUCGCUUCCCGGGCCUGCCGCGGCCCUUCCCCGAGGCGUCCGUCCCGGGCGUCGGCGUCGGGGAGAGCCCGUCCUCCCCGCGUGGUGUUGCCCCGUUCGGCGCGCGCGUGCGCCCGAGCGCGGCCCGGUGGUCCCUCCCGGACAGGCGUCGGUGCGACGUGUGGCGCGGGUCGACCUCCGCCUCGCCGGUCGCUCGCCCCUUUCCCCGGGUCGGGGGGGGGGCCCGGGCCGGGGCCUCGGCCCCGGUCGCGGUCCCUCGUCCCGGGCGGGGGCGGGCGCGCCGGCCGGCUUCGGUCGCCCUCCCUCGGCCGUCGUGUGGCGUGUGCCACCCCUGCUCCCGCGCCCGCCUGGGCGGGGGCCCGGCGCCGGGCUUCGGCCGGGCCCCGGGCCCUCGACCCGACCGGCGCGCGGGCGCUGCGGCCGCNNNNNNNNNNNNNNNNNNNNNNNNNNNNNNNNNNNNNNNNCUCGCUCGCCGCCCGAACGUCGGGGCCGCCCCGNNNNNNNNNNNNNNNNNNNNNNNNNNNNNNNNNNNNNNNNNGGGCGCGCGCNCGGCCGCCGGUCCCUCGCGGCUGCCGGGCGCGGGUCGGGCGGUCCGCCUCGUCGCGGGCGGGCGCGCGAAGGGUCCGCGGGGGUGGCUGCGUGUGCGUCUGCGGGGCGAGCCCGUCGGGGGGCGGCGGUCGCGUGUCGUCGCGCGGGCGGGUGGAUGGGGCGUCCGGUUCGCCGNNNCCCNNNNNNNNNNNNNGCCCCGCCGUCCGGCCCGCCGCCCCGCGCUCGCUCCCUCGCUCCCUCGCUCGCUCCCUCCCNNNNNGCCCCGCCGCCCGCCCGCCCGCCCGGCAGGCCGCGGCCCGUCCGUCCUCGCUUCCCGGGCGCCGGGCCCGUCCUCGCGAGGUCCCCCGGCGGCGGCGGCGGCGGCGCCGUCGUCGUCCUCGUCGUCGGGGCCUCGCCGCGCUCUACCCU
rnacentral:misc_RNA from 1 species